rnacentral:rRNA from 1 species
UACGUAGGGUGCAAGCGUUGUCCGGAAUUACUGGGCGUAAAGAGCUCGUAGGCGGCCUGUCGCGUCGGUUGUGAAAGCCCGGGGCUUAACCCCGGGUCUGCAGUCGAUACGGGCAGGCUAGAGUUCGGUAGGGGAGAUCGGAAUUCCUGGUGUAGCGGUGAAAUGCGCAGAUAUCAGGAGGAACACCGGUGGCGAAGGCGGAUCUCUGGGCCGAUACUGACGCUGAGGAGCGAAAGCGUGGGGAGCGAACAGG